rnacentral:rRNA from 1 species
UACGUAGGGGGCAAGCGUUGUCCGGAUUUAUUGGGCGUAAAGAGCGUGUAGGCGGCCAGGUAGGUCUGCUGUGAAAACUCGAGGCUCAACCUCGAGACGUCGGUUGAAACCACCUGGCUAGAGUCCGGAAGAGGAGUGUGGAAUUCCCGGUGUAGCGGUGAAAUGCGCAGAUAUCGGGAAGAACACCCGUGGCGAAGGCGGCACUCUGGGACGGUACUGACGCUGAGACGCGAAAAGCGUGGGGAGCGAACAGG